CGUUUGUUUAUCGCAAGUGAAGGGUGAAUAUAAUAGAAGGAAAAUAAAAAUGGGAUAUAAGAAGGGUGCGGGAGUUUUUGAAUGGUUGCGUGAACCAAUCGGAAGGCGGACUGGUGGUUCGGUAUCAUGGGCGCGAGCUAACGGGCAUCAGCAAAGAGUGGCAGUUGGCAAGCUCCGCUAGAGUCAAGAAAGAAAAGAAGAACUUCUUAAACAGACGGGAUAUCUGGGCAAAGGGCUUUAAGGAGUUCAAAACGCUAUUAAGAAUCGUGCAUCUUUAUUUUAUUGGUUUAAAUGCAGCUUGAUUGCAACAAUAAGGCUGUUAAACAGAGCCCAAGUGUUGGCCAAAGGAGAGGGAUGUCGGCUGAUAAAGGUGUUAAUAAAUCAAGAUUCAUGCAUGUGGGGAGGACAACGGGAGGAUGCGGAGGUCUCAUCUGAGUGAGCAAAGAAAGAACGCAGCACCACUGCCGUGAGUUUACCCGGACUUGCUGAAGAAACCAGCCACUUCCGGGUCCCUUCCUUCCCUCUGGUCCCCUCCUGAUGAUGUCAUUACCCCACCCACCAACACGGUUCCUUCCCAGCAUUCCGCCUGUCUACUUCCGUCCCCACCUCAUAAAUUGUCUGCCUGUCAACUCCUCAUUUGUCUGUUGUGUUGUAUAUGAAACUGACUGACCUUGCAUCC